GCGUCGUCAACUCACCUGCAGCCCGGCUCGCUGCGAGCGGGAAACCGCUUUCGUCUUCGCCUUGCCGGAGUCUUUACCCGCUUUGCCGCCAGCCUGUCGGAGAGAACAGCAAAAAUAAUAUAAAAACCAGCAGGAAUAAAUAUUGGACCCAGGAUGCUGGGCAGAACUCCCCAGCUUUUCUUCAAAAUGGUGCCCUGGGAUCUUUUACAUCCACCUGAAGGUCAGCUCAUCAAGAAGACUGAUGCCUUACUCCUGGGAUGCACCUUAAAACCUGCCUCUUUAACCAAGCUUUUGGUCAUCUGUUUGAAUGGCCCAAACCUUUGGAUCAGCGUCGGCACUGCUGCAUCUGACGCUAAUCAAACAGAAAAUUGCACACUUACCGGGACAUAUUUAAAAAGAUCAAACUUCUGAUGCAGCACCCAGAAGAAAUUCUUCAGCACAGGAAUCCAUGGAAAAACAAGAUGACGAUCAGUGCAGAGAAGAUGCCCCCUUUUCUACCUCAGAGUUGGAAGGAAUCGCACAGGGUCCCGGGCGGCUGGGAAUCAACCCUCAGGAAAUUUAAACUUCCAGGCAACUCCCAUGUAGGACCAUGUGUUAGGACUUCUGCGGGGUCUGCACAUACAUCUUCCAUCAUAUGGUUAGUCUCUGAUAAUCAUGAGACCAGAAGAUAUGGGCCAUUGUCUCCUUAUGUAACACUGAGUCAAAUUUUGUCUCAUAAUGCUCCUGUGACGUGCCUUGGGAUAUUUUACGACAUUAAAGGUGCUUUAUAAAUGCUAA